rnacentral:rRNA from 1 species
AGAGUUUGAUUCUGGCUCAGGACGAACGCUGGCGGCGUGCUUAACACAUGCAAGUCGAACGAACGUAGAAAUACGUUAGUGGCGGACGGGUGAGUAACGCGCGAGCAAUCUGCCCUUGUCAGUGGAAUAACACAGAGAAAUUUGUGCUAAUACCGCAUAAUAUUCAGUUGAGGCAUCUCAGUUGAAUCAAAGAAUUAUCGGACAAGGAUGAGCUCACGUCCCAUUAGGUAGUUGGUGAGGUAACGGCCCACCAAGCCGACGAUGGGUAGCCGACCUGAGAGGGUGAUCGGCCACAUUGGAACUGAGAAACGGUCCAGACUCCUACGGGAGGCAGCAGUGGGGAAUAUUGGGCAAUGGAGGCAACUCUGACCCAGCAACGCCGCGUGAAUGAUGAAGGUCUUCGGAUUGUAAAGUUCUGUGAUGGGGGACGAAGAAAGUGACGGUACCCCAAUAGCAAGCUACGGCUAACUACGUGCCAGCAGCCGCGGUAAUACGUAGGUAGCAAGCGUUGUCCGGAAUGACUGGGCGUAAAGGGUGCGUAGGUGGUUUAACAAGUUGGUAGUGAAAUUCCGAAGCUUAACUUCGGCGCUACUGCCAAGACUGUUGAACUUGAGUACAGGAGAGGUAAGUGGAAUUCCUAGUGUAGCGGUGGAAUGCGUAGAUAUUAGGAGGAACACCAGUGGCGAAGGCGACUUACUGGCCUGCAACUGACACUGAGGCACGAAAGCGUGGGGAGCAAACAGGAUUAGAUACCCUGGUAGUCCACGCCGUAAACGAUGAUUACUAGGUAUGGGAGGUAUCGACUCCUUCCGUGCCGCAGCAAACGCAAUAAGU